GCCGGCGAUGACGCACGCCGAACACCACGUCGGGAGGGGCGUCCUCCACGCGCGUCCUCGUUACAGUUUUGCUGUAUGAUUCCCACAAGCCAUUCUGUCAACCUAAAUGAGCCAGGACUUUGGUCAAAGUCCUCAUGGAUAACAUCUGGUCAGAGUUGUCACCAGGGCCACUCCCGAACAUGUUUAAAGUAACCUUUUAUGUAAAAAUGUUGGAUGGGACAUGUUCCAGUAGCAAUAUCAGUGUUGCCCUUGAAGACAACAAGCUCAACUGGACGUACAAUUUCCCUUCUUCCGCGGUCUUCCUGCCAACUUGUCCAGACUGUCUUUUGAACCAGAUUACAACCACCAUCAAUGGAAACAACUUCAUGUCUCUGGAACUCUACAUUUAUUCAUUAAAGAAAGCAUUCCUGACAUUUGGAGACUUGUAGACAUCCCAGCUUGGCAGACCUGUCGAGAUCCAACACCCUCUUUCAUUUAUUGUCACUUCACAUCCCGGCAUGGCACACCUGUCGAGAUCCAACGCCCUCCCUCCCACAGUUGGACCACGGACACCUGUUCAUUGCUAUUUUCUUAACUCAAUAUUUAAUUUAAAUUUCUUAACUUAAUAAUUGGAAAAAUACUGAUUCACUUUCAUUCCCUUCUGACAG
ensembl:lncRNA